GAUGAACGCUGGCGGCGUGCCUAAUACAUGCAAGUCGAGCGAACAGACGAGGAGCUUGCUCCUCUGACGUUAGCGGCGGACGGAUGAGUAACACGUGGAUAACCUACCUAUAAGACUGGGAUAACUUCGGGAAACCGGAGCUAAUACCGGAUAAUAUAUUGAACCGCAUGGUUCAAUAGUGAAAGACGGUUUUGCUGUCACUUAUAGAUGGAUCCGCGCCGCAUUAGCUAGUUGGUAAGGUAACGGCUUACCAAGGCAACGAUGCGUAGCCGACCUGAGAGGGGGGACGCCACCAGGGGACGGGAAACAGGGCCCAGCCCCCGCGGGGAGGGAGGAGAGGGGAUCUUCCGAAAAGGGGGGAAGGCGGAAGGGAACACGGCGGGGGGAGGAAGAAGGGUCUUGGAAUGUAAAAACUUUUUUAUGGGAAAAAAAAAAGUGUGAAAGAAACAAUGCGGUUCUUGAGGGUACAUAAUAAAAAAGCCCGGACAACCUCCGUC
rnacentral:rRNA from 1 species